UACGUAGGGGGCAAGCGUUGUCCGGAAUCAUUGGGCGUAAAGAGCGUGUAGGCGGCUCGGUAAGUCCGCUGUGAAAGUCCAGGGCUCAACCCUGGAAUGCCGGUGGAAACUGUCGAGCUAGAGUCCGGAAGAGGCGAGUGGAAUUCCUGGUGUAGCGGUGAAAUGCGCAGAUAUCGGGAGGAACACCGGUGGCGAAGGCGGUUCUCUGGGCCUGACCUGACGCUGAGGCACGAAAGCGUGGGGAGCAAACAGG
rnacentral:rRNA from 1 species